UAAUUUGCGCAAUGGCAGUAUCGUAGCCAAUGAGGUUUGUCCGAGGCGCGAUUAUUGCUAAUUGAAAAUAAUAAUUUAGCCAAAAUUCCCAAACACAGGUGUUUUAAAUAUCAAUUCAUAUUAAGACAAAUGUU